UAUACCAACUGUCUCAUUACUGGAACGGUGGAUUUCAUCUUUGGGGAUGCGGCGAGCAUUUUCCAGAACUGUAUGCUUAUCGUGAGGAAGCCAGGGCCUGGCCAAAAUUGCAUGGUUACUACACAGGAAAGGAAUGAUCUUGGAACAAACUCAGCCAUUGUGCUUCAAAACUGCACCAUCUCGGGCGCCCCUGAUUACAUCCAAGUGAAAGAUACGAACAAGGCAUACUUGGGGCGUCCCUGGAAACAAUUCGCUAGGUCUAUCAUAAUGCAAUCUCAGAUCGACGACAUCAUUCAACCAGAGGGUUAUGCCCCCAUGACCGGCACCAUAGGAAUAGACACUUCUUUCAUUGCCGAGUUUGGAAACAGGGGACCCGAUGCCGAUACCAGCCGUAGGGUGGCUUGGAAAGGUAUAAAAAAGAUAGAUAUAAAUGAAGCCAACAAAUGGACUCCUCGCGUCUAUCUUGAAUCCGAGACUUGGGUUCCGAGUUCCGGCAUUCCCUAUAGUCCCGACAUGGUCCUUGGAGUCUAAACAGCUUAUUAUCAAUACCAACGCCAUUAGUAUGCUUAUUAUCAUAUCAUUGUUCUAAUUAUGUCAUUUUUACUAAUUAGUAAACAGUUUUUUUAAUCUUUUAUCUAUCUAUGUAUAUAUGUUGAAUUUAUUGGUUUCCGAGUUGUUGUUUCCAUUCACUUAAUAAUGAUGUUUACAAAACCCAAAAAUUAAGUCAACGUUUAAAUAUUAUUGAACUUAAUUUAAUAAAUAUUUUAGAAGGAUUAUUUGGAUUGAUAAUGUUGUUUUCUUGAUGUAGACACCUUACUUUAAAUAGAUUUAAUAAAAUGAUUAUUAUCAAACUUAAUUACAAGAUUUAAUAAAAAAAUAGUUUAUUAAGUAAUAAUUACUAAUAUAAUAUUAAAAAUUAAUAAAAAAAUCAAUCUUAUUUUAUAUAUAUAUAUUUUUAUAUAUGGAUUUUAGCAAGCAUCCCGCUUAUGGAAUCAAGGAUUUGAUCAAGCGGUCAAUAUUUUUGAAUUUGAGCAAAACAUAGAAGAACAUUGUGUUUAUAAACAUUUAGGGGAUGAAAAUGUGGUCUUUCUCGUUCUAUAUGUCAGGUGAAAUUCUACUAGUUGAGAAUAAUGUAGGGAUAUUGUCAUCGUUUAAACUAUGGUUAACCCAAUAGUUUAAGUGAAGGACUUGGGAGAAGUUAAUUUUGUUCUGGGCAUUCGAAUCCUGAUCGAAAGAACAAAGUGAUAGCACUAUCGCAAGAUUCAUACAUAGCCAAGAUGUAAUAACCUGUUUUUCAGUGGUAUCAGAAAUAGUGGUUUUGGGGCCACAAAUCCGACGAGUAAGUUUAUAAAUAUUAUCAUUUAAUAUUUAUGAGUCAAAUACGGUUUUAAAAAGGUUUUUGAUUUGGUAAUUUAUGUUAUAUAAAUGAUAAAUUAAGUUGAAGUUGUAAAACCCUAAAGUCAAGUAGUUUUAGAAAAUGAGGUAUCGGGACAUCGUUUCUAUAUAUCAAGUUGUAAAUAUUUUUAUAAAUAUUUAUGGAGUAUUAUUAAGGUUGUAUUAAAGUUUCGUUAUGAAAUUUUAAUAUUUAAAAGGUUAAUUAGGUGAAAAGGACUAAAUUGAAAAAUGUACAAAAGUUGAAUGAUAUUAGUUAAAUGGAUCUAAUAGAUAUGGAAAGGUAAAUUCUUGGACCUGGAUGGUAAUUGUACCAUAUUUAAUGUGAGUGGAUAUUCUUAGGAAGGUUGCAUGGUAAAUCUUCUAAAUUUUAAAGGUUAUAAUAUAAUUAAUUAAUAUAAACUAAAAUAACUUAACCAAAAAUUAUCAUCUUCUUCCUUGUUUCAAAUGCUUUAACCAAAUGGUUAUGGUGGGUGAUGAAAACCCAUUCGGCUAGUUUUUUGGGGUGCUUGGUAAGCUAUUUUCACCCAUUUCUUUUAAUUUUUAUGUUUUUGAGAUCGUUGCAACUAGGUCUAGCUAGUUUGUACCUUCGAUUUUGAAACUGUUAAAGAUAUUGAAUUUUUCCAUUGAAGAAUUUUGUGAAUUAAUUUGAAGUGUUAGUUAGUAUUUAAAAGUAUUUUGUUAAAUAAUUUUUGAUGAAUUUCCCGAUUAGGGACUAAAUUGUUAAAAUAAUAAAAAUACAUGGAUUUUAUGUGAAUUUAUUUAUAAAUAUGGGCUGUAUUGGGAGCUAUAAACACUUAGCUAAGCUCAAAAUUGGGUAACAAUGGUUAAUCUACAUGUUUUAGGUUCAGGGACUAAAUUGAAUAAAAGCAAAAUGUUAGAAACAAUUUUGUAAAAAUGUAAAAAAUGACUAAAUUGCAUAAAAUAAUUUUUUUUACUAUCUAUAUUAAUAAAUUGAAUGAAAUUAUUAAUUUAGAUCAAGAUUGAGUGGAAAAUCAAUGAGAAUAAAAAAUUACCAAAAUGCCUAUGUACUUUGACAUUUCUGCAAUUUAGCUAGGUAAAUUUGUACAGUUAGAAUUUAACAUCAAUAUGAAUUUUUGAGUAGAUUAACAUGGUACAAAUUAUAUAUUUAUUUUUAAUUGUUGAUAAUUAAUGGUAAUUUGAUAUAUAAUAUUAAAUUUGAUGCUCGGUUUGGACUGAACGCGGGAUAAAGUACAAUCGUGAUUUGUGUUUUAGGGGUUUAGAGUGGAGAUGGUAUUGGAGGGAGAUGUUUGUAUAUUACCUGCGGUUCAGCAGUUGUUAUGAACUCUCGUGUUAUACUCUCUGUCUGGAGUGUUUCGGUUGGAUUAGCUCUUAUGAGCUUCUGUCCGGCGUGUUUCAGUUGGAUUAGCUCUUAUGAGCUUCUGUCUAGUGUGUUCAGUUGAUCUGACUAUGCACUCUUAUCUGUAAGUUGUUCUUCAAAUGAAAAAUCUAGGUAAGGUAAUAUGCUUAAUGAAUUUGAAAGAUUUGUUAUUUAUUGAAUAUUGAUCUGAACAUAGAUGAAUUCAUCAGUUGAAAUUGUGGAUGCUAGGGAACUCUGUAACACCCCCUAACCCCAAAUUGUUACCAGAACGAGGUUAUGAGGCAUUACCGAACAUAUCAGACAACUUACGAAUAAUUUACCAUUAAUAUAACUUUCAUAGUAUAAUAUAAUAAUUAAGUCCCUAUCUUGAACUCUCGAAGUUCAAACACGUAUUAAAAGUAGAACGGGACUUGUUCGAGUAUUCCAAUUUUUUUUUUAUAAAAAUUUUGGCAGCAUUUCUGCUUAUUUUUACCUAAACCUCCUGCAAAUUCAAACCAAAACAACCAACACCAAUAUUUCACAUUCAUAUACUAAUAUUUAUAUUAUUAACAAAAUUUUAAUUUAAUAAGUAUCAUAGCAUCAUUCAAAAUUGAUUAAAAACUUCAUUCAUUUAACAACUUAAUGUUCAUGUAUCAAAAUAUCAUGUACUUUCUUUACCAUUUCAUUUAACCAUCUAAAUUUUAUAAUUCAUCCUUCACUACCCAAAGUAAUAUACAUAUUCAGGUGACUACCUAUGUACAUGCCACCUUUACCCAAAAGAAAAAUAUACAUCACCAAGUUUGUGUUGGAGUCAGGAUUGUUCUGGAUCCUGAGCCGGGACACUUGAUUCCUACUAACCUGCGCACGGAAACAACCGUACGCUGAGUAUGGAUAUACUCAGUGGUAUUACUAUAAAUCAAGACUAUUUAACAUUAAUAAAUUACAAACAUCAACCAUAAAUUUUAUAAUUAUUUAAACUACUUUUAUGUAAAAUUAUUUUACUUCAUAAAUCUUAAAUUCAUAAUUUAUUUUUCUCAUACUAACUCAAUUCAUAAUUUAGUUCAUACAUUCUUUCUCGUACUUUUCAAUAGUGCUAAAACAAAUAAUCUCAUUUUCAAAAUUUCAUUUCAAUUAUUUACCCUAUUAACAAAGCUCGGACUAUGACAGAUACGCGGAUUCCAUCCAAACACACCAGAAUGUCCAACCCAAACACACCCGGAAUAUUGUAAAUCCUCCAUAACACACCGGUAUAAUAUAUCCUCCCAAACACACCAAUAAGGCAUUAAAUGCCUAUUCAGAUAAACCGAAGUAUAUAAUAACAGAAACAUCCUCUCGGCCGAACUACAAUCUCUUCAUCACAUCACAAAUCCAAUGGCAUGCCAUUUGUAUCGGAUUUAGUCCGACAAGUUAAUAGGGUAUUUUUUUUUCUAAUUUCAAUUUCAUUUACAGAAAAAUUUUCAAUACUCAUUCAAUCCAAAUAUCUAUUAUCUUAAUUCAUAUACAAUUUAAUUUUCACACAAGUGUAUACCAUCAACACCAUACAUUUGUCACAAUUUAUUUAUUUUCAAUCAAUACACUUUUCAAAUAAUCACAUAUUCCAUAAUUUACUUAUUCAAUUCAACUUGAUUCAAUUUAUAUCACUUUCAUUUUCACUCAAUAUUCAUAUCGAUUUCACAUACUUACCUCAAGUCUUAUUUACCAUACAUAACAAUUAAAAUUUCAGCAAUCAAUAAUAAUUAAAAUUUGAAUUAUAGUAAUACACACCGUAAUUCUCCCGUUUUAGUCCUCGAUGACUUUCUCCUUUCCUUUCGAUGCUGAUGCUUCCGGUUCUUUGUUGGCUACGAAAAUAAUAGUAAUUUACAUUAUUAUUUACAGCAUUAAUUAUAAUAAAUAAUUAAAUUUCUAAACAACUCCUACCUUAUUCCCAAUUUAAUCCUAACUAAACUUAAUUAUUUUCUUAAUCCAAUUCACUCUCUUUUUCUAUUCAAAUUUUGUCUAAACUUAUAUUUAACUAUAAAAUUUCCAGCAUAUUUCCCUAAUUUCUAAAUUUCUUCAAUUUAGUCCCUACAACAUAAAACUUAUAGCCUAGUUUACAAUUUAAUCCCUUAAUCAAUUCUAACUUAGAAUUCAUUCAAUUAAAUCCCUAAUUCCAUAAAUUUUCCAACAUGAACCCUACUUGGAAACAUAUGAACUCUUGAACUAUCAACUUAAUUUCAUCAAAAUCUUGUUUCAAAGCUCCAAAAACAUCAAAAUUAACUAAAAAAGACUUAAUUAACUUACCAAAUUAACUCCAAGCUUCAAAUCCUUAGUUUUCUCUUUUAUUUUUCUUUCCCCUUUUCUUUCUCUUUUUCUCCCCUGCUUCCCGUUUUCAACUCUGUUUCUAUUUCCUUUUGUUUCUUUAUUUCUUUAAUUCUUUUAUACUUUAUUAUUUUAUUAACAUAAUAUAAUAUUAAUAUAAUAUAUUAAAAUAUAUUUUACUUUAAUAUUAAGUAAAUUAAUAAUUAUAUAACAAGUGUACAUAUUUAUAUUAUUACAAAUGUCAUUAUCUAAUUUGCUUAUUAAAUAAAAAUCUCAUGAUUUAAUUAAUACAAUUAAUAAUUAUAAAAUAUUUUUAUACUUAAAUUAUAAGUAAUUAAAUAUUUAAAUUACAAAUGUACCCAUACAAUUCUUACACAUGUAUAUUUUAUUAUCAUACAAUUGUCUUCUAUUUAAUUUAUUUAUAAUAUAAUAUCAAUUAAAUAAUCAUAACAAUUUAAUAUAAAACCAUAAUAAUAAUCAUUAUAAUAUAUAAAACCUAAAAAACAUCUUUGAUUUUAUUUCACCAAUAUGCCACCUCAUUUGUAGUCAAUGGCUUAAUUGUCAUUUUAAUCCUUUUUAUUUUCUAUUGCUUUAUAAUUAAACUUUUACCCUUUAUUCAAUUUAAUCCUUUUUAUUACUUACUCUAAAUUAAGCUAAAUUCACUUAAUUAGAUCCUAAUUAGACACACCACUAGGCUCAUAAAUAUUUUAAAUAAUUAUUUUCGAACUUAUUUCACUAAGACGGAGGCCCUAUAACUCACUUUUCCGGUGCCCGUGAAUUUCAGGUCAUUACAUUUCUCCCCCCUUAAUAAAUUUCGUCCUCGAAAUUUACCUGAGAAGAGAUGAGGAUAUUGUACUCUCAUAGUUUCCUCUGGUUCCCAAGUCGCUUCUUCAACAUUAUGAUUUCUCCAUAGGACUUUCACUAAAGGAACCUUUUUAUUUCUUAAUUCUUUCACUUCUCGUGCUAAAAUUUGAACCGGCUCUUCUUCAUAUGAUAGAUCAGGUCGAACUUCAAUAUCUUCUGUAGAAAUUAUAUGAGAAGGAUCUGAUCUAUAUUUCCGUAGCAUCGAAACAUGAAAAACAUCAUGAAUCAUUUGUAAGUCAGAAGGUAAAGCUAAUCGAUAUGCAACUGGUCCAAUUCUUUCCACUAUUUCAUACGACCCAAUAAAACGUGGGGUCAAUUUUCCUUUCCGACCAAAUCUCAAAACUUUUUUCCAAGGAGAAACCUUAAGAAAUACUUUGUCUCCAACUGAAUAUUCAAUGUCCCGACGUUUCAGAUCAGCAUAAGAUUUUUGUCUGUCAAAAGCUGCUUUUAAUCUCUGUUGAAUCUUCUUGACUGUUUCUUCUGUUUCACGAAUCAAUUCUGGCCCAAUUACUUUUCUUUCAUUCAAUUCCGUCCAACAUACUGGUAAUCUACAUUUUCGACCAUAUAACGCUUCAUACGGAGCCAUCUGAAUACUAUAUUGGAAACUAUUAUUAUAGACAAACUCAGCUAGUGGCAAAUAUCGCUCCCAACCUGCUUCAAACUCAAUAAUACAAGUUCGAAGCAUAUCUUCUAGUACCUGAAUUACCCGUUCGGACUGUCCGUCAGUUUGGGGAUGAAAAGCUGUACUGAAACUAAGUCUAGUACUCAACGACUCAUGUAACUGUCUCCAAAAUCUCGAUGUGAACCGAGGAUCUCGAUCUGAAAUUAUUGAUAUCGGAAUGCCAUGUAGUCUAACAAUGUCUCGAAUAUACACAUCUGCAAGCUUCUGCAACGACCAAUCAGUCUUGACUGCUAUAAAAUGUGCUGACUUGGUAAGUCUAUCAACUAUCACCCAAAUAGCAUUCUUUUUGCUUGCUGACAACGGUAAUCCCGUAAUAAAAUCCAUCGUGAUGCGAUCCCAUUUCCAUUCAGGAAUAUUAAUAGGCUGAAGCAAUCCAGUAGGAACCUGAUGUUCUGCCUUUACUCGUUGGCAAGUCAGACAUUUACUUACAAAUUCUACUAUGUCUCUUUUCAUCCCUGGCCACCAGUAUAAUUCUCUUAAAUCUCGAUACAUUUUCGUGCCUCCGGGGUGCAUAGCAAACGAACUAUCAUGAGCUUCACGUAGAAUUAACUCUUUGGGCUCAGAAGUAUUUGGAAUACAAAUCCGAUUUCGAAACCUCAAGCAUCCACAAUCAUCAAUACUAAAAUUUUCUACUAUGCCAUUCUGUACCAUCUCUCUUUUCUUCAAUAAUUUGUCAUCUUCCAACUGAGCUGAUCUAAUCUGAUCAAACAUUACCGAUUUUACUCUUAAUUCGGCCAAAAUACUCCCAUCAUCAUUGAUACUAAGCCGUGAAAACAUUGCUCUUAAUUCAAUUACAGCUUUUCUGCUUAAUGCAUCAGCUACAACAUUAGCUCUUCCCGGAUGAUAGUCUAUAACACAAUCAUAAUCUUUCAGAAGCUCGAUCCAACGCCUUUGUCUCAAAUUCAAUUCCUUCUGAGAAAGAAGAUACUUCAAACUCUUAUGAUCAGUAUAGAUGUAGCAUUUUUCACCAUAAAGAUAAUGUCUCCAAAUCUUCAAUGCAAAAAUCACAGCCGCUAACUCAAAAUCAUGAGUGGGAUAAUUCCUUUCAUGUGAUUUCAAUUGAAGAGAUGCAUAGGCUAUUACCUUCCCAUCCUGCACCAAUACACAACUCAAACCACUCAAAGAAGCAUCACUAUACACUAAAAAUUCUUUACCCGAUUCUGGCAAUGUCAAAACUGGUGCUUCGGUUAACAUUCGCUUCAAUGUUUCAAAACUUUUCUGACAUUGAUCAUCCCAAAUAAAAGGAACAUUCUUCUGCAAUAGUUUCGUCAUUGGUAGUGCUAUCUUCGAGAAUCCAUUUACAAACCUCCUGUAAUACCCAGCUAAACCGAGAAAACUGCGUACCUCCGAUACAUUAUUUGGCACCUUCCACUGAACAAUUGCUUCGAUCUUUUUCGGAUCAACUCGAAUUCCAUCUGCAGAUAUUACAUGUCCCAGAAAUACCACUUCUGAUAACCAGAACUCGCAUUUACUAAGCUUUCCAUAUAACUGUUUCUCUCGUAAAAUUUGUAGAACUAUUCGAAGAUGCUGAUCAUGUUCUGCUUCUGUCUUCGAAUAUACCAAUAUAUCAUCAAUGAAAACCACCACAAACUGAUCUAAAUACAGCUGAAAGAUAUGAUUCAUGAGAUCCAUAAAAGCAGCUGGGGCAUUUGUUAACCCAAAUGGCAUUACCAAGAACUCAUAAUGGCCAUACCUCGUACGAAAAGCUAUUUUCGGUACAUCACUUUCUUUUACCUUCAACUGAUAGUAACCCGACCUUAAGUCAAUCUUCGAAAACACAGAAGCUCCUCUCAACUGAUCAAAUAAAUCAUCAAUGCGAGGCAACGGGUACUUAUUUUUAAUUGUUACCUUGUUCAACUGUCGGUAAUCAAUACAAAGUCGCAUAGAGCCAUCUUUCUUUUUAACAAACAAUACUGGAGCUCCCCAGGGUGAAAUGCUUGGUCUAAUAAAUCCAUGAUCUAGUAAAUCUUGUAACUGCACCUUCAACUCUUUCAACUCAGUGGGCGACAUUCGAUACGGAGGUAUAGAAAUUGGUGUUGUACCUGGAUACACCUCAAUAGCAAAUUCAACCUCUCUGUCAGGUGGUAAGUCCGGUAAUUCUUCUGGGAAUACAUCUGGAAACUCACGUACAGUCCUAAUCUGAUUGCACUAACUCCCAACUGAAUCAGAAUUAAUAACAUAUGCCAAGUAUGCUGGACAACCCUACUGCAGUAAUUUAUUAGCCUAAAUCGCUGAAAUAAUGCGUGUCGAACCACUGGUACGGAUGCCAUUCACUUCAAUUCUAUUCCCAUUUUUUGUCUGAAUACUAAACCUCUUUUUAUAGCAAUCCAAAACUACCCCAUGUUCAUAUAGCCAGUCCAUACCCAAAAUGAUAUCAAAAUCACCAAAAGGCAUGAUCAACAAGUCCACAAGAAACAUUUUAUCAUGUAUUAUUAACGGGCACCUCCGACAUACUCUAUCUACUAACACCGUUUGUCCCAAAGGGCUAGACACUUCUAUAGAAACUUUAGACAUUUCAGAUUCUAAUUUCCCCGAUUCGACUAGUUUUGAAUUUAUAUAUGAGUGUGACGAACCCGGAUCAAUUAAAGCAUAAAUAGGCUCAGAAUACAAUAGAAAUAUACCUGUAACAACAUCAUGUGCAUCGCCCUCCUCACGGGUCCGGACUACGUAAGCUCUGGCCGGCGCUCUGGCCUCUGACUGUUGUGUAACUAUAUUGCUGUUUCUUUUGACACCUCCACCUCUAGACACAGAACCCAAACCACCCGUACUAGAUCCUCUGCCACGAACAGUAGGUACUGAUCUUUGAGAUGUUGCAGGUGUGGCACUUUCACCUUUCGGACAAUCUCGAAUGAAAUGAUCUGUGGCCCCACAUCGAAAACAUCGUCGAGUUAUCCUCCAACAUUCACCUAAAUGUUUCUUUCCGCAAUGCUCACAGUCUAGAAUUUCUAUACUUCGGGAUGGACCUCUCACACUACUAGUAGAUAUUGUCAUCUCUUUACCUCUGCUUCUACCACUUCUAUCUGAACUAAAGCUGGAUCUCCAGUCACUUCUUGAUUCUCUGAAUCUCUUCGGUAAUGGAUUAGAACUAGUAGUUCCCAUACAUUUCCCAGCUGAUUUACCAAUUUCUGAUUUUUUAUCCAGACCCAGUACUUGUUCUAUCAUUUUUGCUCGCUCAACCAGAUCAACAAGUUCAGUAAUUCUGAGACUUACCAAUUGAAUCUUGAUUUCAUCUCGCAGUCCCCGUAGAAAUCGUUUACAACUAUCAGCCUCGGUUGGAACAUAUUCUAAAGCAUACCUGCUCAAUCUAGAGAACUCUCACUCAUAAUCCAGUACUGACAUAUUCCCCUAUUUCAACACUAAAACUCUUGCUUUUUCUCUUCGAUGUACAAUUCCCUAAUAUACUUCUUCUUAAAUUCUUUUUGAAACAAGUCCCAAGUUACCUGAUCAUCCGGCAAAUGUCUAACCACAGAUUCCCACUAGAGAUACGCUUCUCCUUGUAACAGUGAUACAGCACAUAUCAGACUCUCUCAGGGGGUGCAGUCUAAUUGUUGCAAAACUCUUUUUGUUGUUUCUAUCCAAUUUUCAGCAACGGAUGGAUCAGCUCCUUUUAAUCCCUGAAAUUCCGUGGCACCAUAUUUUCGUAGCUCUUUAAUUGGGGCCUGUCUGACAGUAGGUACAGAUGUAGUAGCAGGUAUAGCUCUCACUAUGUGCUGUAAUGCAUCAGCUAUAUCUCUUAACACUUGAGAGGUAUUUCUUUCUCUCCCUACGUUAGGAGAUUGAUUAUUUAACGGAUUCACACCAGGUGUAACAGAUUCAGUUUCUUCUAAUUCUCGACUUCCAGUAUACAUUUCCUGUUCAACAUUAUCCAUUCUUUCAUCUGACAUUUUAUCUAUAAAACAAAAUCAAAUAAAUACAUUAGCAUCCAAAAAUCCCGACUCAAUUUCGACUCGACAGUGGCAUGUACUUCUAAACUCACUUCUGAGCCCAAUUUAGCCCGAGAAUCGACUAAACCUGAUAACUCUGAUACCAACAAUUGUAACACCCCCUAACCCCAAACCGUUACCGGAACGAGGUUAUGAGGCAUUACCGGACAUAUCAGACAACUUACGAAUAAUUUACAAUUAAUAUAACUUUCAUAGUAUAAUAUAAUAAUUAAGUCCUUAUCUUGAACUCUCGAAGUUCAAACACGUAUUAAAAGUAGAACGGGACUUGUUCGAGUAUUCCAAUUUUUUUUUAUAAAAAUUUCGGCAGCAUUUCUGCUUAUUUUUACCUCAACCUCCUGCAAAUUCAAACCAAAACAACCAACACCAAUAUUUCACAUUCAUAUACUAAUAUUUAUAUUAUUAACAAAAUUUUAAUUUAAUAAGUAUCAUAGCAUCAUUCAAAAUUGAUUAAAAACUUCAUUCAUUUAACAACUUAAUGUUCAUGUAUCAAAAUAUCAUAUACUUUCCUUACCAUUUCAUUUAACCAUCUAAAUUUUAUAAUUCAUCCUUCACUACCCAAAGUAAUAAACAUAUUCAAGUGACUAAAUAACACCUAUGUACAUGCCACGUUUACCCAAAAGAAAAAUAUACAUCACCAAGUUUGUGUUGGAGUCGGGAUUAUUCUGGAUGCUGAGCCGGGACACUUGAUUCCUACUAACCUGCGCACGGAAACAACCAUACGCCGAGUAUGGAUAUACUCAAUGGUAUUACUAUAAAUCAAGACUAUUUAACAUUAAUAAAUUACAAACAUCAACCAUAAAUUUUAUAAUUAUUUAAACUACUUUUAUAUAAAAUUAUUUUACUUCAUAAAUUUUAAAUUCAUAAUUUAUUUUUCUCAUACUAACUCAAUUCAUAAUUUAGUUCAUACAUUCUUUCUCGUACUUUUCAAUAGUGCUAAAACAAAUAAUCUCAUUUUCAAAAUUUCAUUUCAAUUAUUUACCCUAUUAACAAAGCUUGGACUAUGACAGAUACGCGGAUUCCAUCCAAACACACUAGAAUGUCCAACCCAAACACACCCGGAAUAUUGUAAAUCCUCCAUAACACACCGGUAUAAUAUAUCCUCCCAAACACACCAAUAAGGCAUUAAAUGCCUAUUCGGAUAAACAGAAGUAUAUAAUAACAGAAACAUCCUCUCGGCCGAACUACAAUCUCUUCAUCACAUCACAAAUCCAAUGGCAUGCCAUUUGUAUCGGAUUUAGUCCGACAAGUUAAUAGGGUAUUUUUUUUUCUAAUUUCAAUUUCAUUUACAGAAAAAUUUUCAAUACUCAUUCAAUCCAAAUAUCUAUUAUCUUAAUUCAUAUACAAUUUAAUUUUCACACAAGUGUAUACCAUCAACACCAUACAUUUGUCACAAUUUAUUUAUUUUCAAUCAAUACACUUUUCAAAUAAUCACAUAUUCCAUAAUUUACUUAUUCAAUUCAACUUGAUUCAAUUUAUAUCACUUUCAUUUUCACUCAAUAUUCAUAUCGAUUUCACAUACUUACCUCAAGUCUUAUUUACCAUACAUAACAAUUAAAAUUUCAGCAAUCAAUAAUAAUUAAAAUUUAAAUUAUAGUAAUACACACCGUAAUUCUCCCGUUUUAGUCCUCGAUGACUUUCUCCUUUCCUUUCGAUGCUGAUGCUUCCGGUUCUUUGUUGGCUACGAAAAUAAUAGUAAUUUACAUUAUUAUUUACAGCAUUAAUUAUAAUAAAUAAUUAAAUUUCUAAACAACUCCUACCUUAUUGCCAAUUUAAUCCUAACUAAACUUAAUUAUUUUCUUAAUCCAAUUCACUCUCUUUUUCUAUUCAAAUUUUGUCUAAACUUAUAUUUAACUAUAAAAUUUCUAGCAUAUUUCCCUAAUUUCGAAAUUUCUUCAAUUUAGUCCCUACAACAUAAAACUUAUAGCCUAGUUUACAAUUUAAUCCCUUAAUCAAUUCUAACUUAGAAUUCAUUCAAUUAAAUCCCUAAUUCCAUAAUUUUUCCAACAUGAACCCUACUUGGAAACAUAUGAACUCUUGAACUAUCAACUUAAUUUCAUCAAAAUCUUGUUUCAAAGCUCCAAAAACAUCAAAAUUAACUAAAAAGGACUUAAUUGACUUACCAAAUUAACUCCAAGCUUCAAAUCCUUAGUUUUCUCUUUUAUUUUUCUUUCCCUUUUUCUUUCUCUUUUUCUCCCCUACUUCCCGUUUUCAACUCUGUUUCUAUUUCCUUUUGUUUCUUUAUUUCUUUAAUUCUUUUAUACUUUAUUAUUUUAUUAACAUAAUAUAAUAUUAAUAUAAUAUAUUAAAAUAUCUUUUACUUUAAUAUUAAGUAAAUUAAUAAUUAUAUACCAAGUGUACAUAUUUAUAUUAUUACAAAUGUCAUUAUCUAAUUUGCUUAUUAAAUAAAAAUCUCAUGAUUUAAUUAAUACAAUUAAUAAUUAUAAAAUAUUUUUAUACUUAAAUUAUAAGUAAUUAAAUAUUUAAAUUACAAAUGUACCCAUACAAUUCUUACACAUGUAUAUUUUAUUUCCAUACAAUUGUCUUCUAUUUAAUUUAUUUAUAAUAUAUUAUCAAUUAAAUAAUCAUAACAAUUUAAUAUAAAACCAUAAUAAUAAUUAUUAUAAUAUAUAAAACCUAAAAAAAAUCUUUGAUUUUAUUUCACCAAUAUGCCACCUCAUUUGUAGUCAAUGGCUUAAUUGCCAUUUUAAUCCUUUUUAUUUUCUAUUGCUUUAUAAUUAAACUUUUACCCUUUAUUCAAUUUAAUCCUUUUUAUUACUAACUCUAAAUUAAGCUAAAUUCACUUCAUUAGAUCCUAAUUAGACACACCACUAGGCUCAUAAAUAUUUUUAAUAAUUAUUUUCGAACUUAUUUCACUAAGACGGAGGCCCUAUAACUCACUUUUCCGGUGCCCGUGAAUUUCAGGUCAUUACAAACUCUCAUGGUUGAUUAUUAUUGUUUGAACUGUUGUAUUUACUUCGGUAAGAUUUAUCGUUUAAUAUGUCGAACUUACUAAGCUUCUUUAAGCUUACUUAUAUUUUUUAAUAUUAUUGUAGAUUCUCGGAAGGUUGGACGACCGAAUCAGCACUCAGGUCACACUAUCCAACUCAAUUCGAUAGUUUUUGGAAUGUUUAAUUUAGCUUAUAUGGCAUGUAUAGGCUCUUGUGUGAUUAUCGUUAAUGUUUUGGUUUAUAUAAAAACUAUAGAUGAUUUUUUGUGUAAAUGGUCAACUUAUAUAAUAUAUGAGAAUGAGGUAUAGUUUAUAUGCUAAUGUGAAUGAUAUGUAUUAAAGAAAUGUUGUGAUUGAGAUACCUUUGAUAGGUAUUUUGGAUAGGUAUUGCUUGAAUGAAUUGAUAAUUAUUUUGAUGUAUAAUUAUAUAUACUUGUGGUACCAAUGAGGGUACAUUGGUUAGGCACUUAAUAGGUUGUUUUAGUGUGUUUUUGGCUCGAUUAAAGUCAUUUUGAUUUGGCAUUUUGGUUGGCAUUUGAGUUUCUUAAGGUCCAAGCAAACUUGAAAUGCUAAUCUUGUGUUUUAAGGUUCAUUUUGGGUACACAUGGUCUGAGACACGGGCGAGUGUCUCAACCUUGUGUGACACACGGCCAUACGACACUAUCGUGUGUCCCCUGUAGGUUAAAGGCAUGCAAGUCAGCGAGUUACAUGGCCUAAGAGACAGGCGUGUGUCACAGUCGUAUGACCCCGGUAGUCCAAAUUUUUCAACUUUUUCCUAAACUUUCCAAAUAUUUCUGAUUUAGUCCUGGAUUGAUUCUUUUAUAUUCUUAGAGUCUCAAGGACUCAAUUAAGGGAUGUUAUGAAUGUAUUUGAAUUAAUUUAUAAUAUUUAUUGUAUUAGUGUAUGAAUUGAAUGGUUUACUGUUUCAUUUUUUUGGUAAUGCUUCGUAACUCUGUUACGACACCAAAUACGAGUUAGGGGAGUUACACAAGAUAUUGGAGAGCUGUGCUAUAACUGAUUCAAAGAAGGGUAAUCAACCUUCUAAUAUUGAGAUUUCACCUCUCUUUGGAGGAUUGUUCUAAGACAGUGGAAGAAAGAGAGAACAUGUGAAAUGUUCAUUAUGCUUCAACAAUAGGAAGUCUCAUGUAUGUUAUGUUGUGUAUGCAUCCAAAUAUCUAUUUUGCUAUAGGGUUGGUGAGUUGAUAUUAGGCGAAUCCAAGACCAAGAAAUUGGCAAAUAGUUAUGCAUAUACUCAAGUAUUUACAAAGAAUAAAGGAUUUUAUGCUUGUGUAUUAUGGAAGAGAUCUUACUCUUAUUGGAUAGACUGAUUCUGACUUCCAAACGUGUCGAGAUUUGAGGAAAUCAAUAGCAGGCUGUGUUGUUGUCCUAGGUGAUCUACUUAAUUUGAUACGUCAAACUAAACUUUCUAAUACACUUAAGGAGCUUAUCUUAAAACAAUUUAAGUGUCUUUUAUAUGGUUUUUUUUAUUUUUAUUUUUGUUUUUAAUAAUUUUUUAAUUAGUUUCAAGUCAUUUCUGACACCCAAAUUGGCCAAUUGUGGCAUGGGAAACCUAACAAGUUGAUUAAGUGAUAUAGGGAGUUGACGGUGGCCCGAACAGAAAGAAAACAUCACCUACAAUGGGGUAUCACGAUAUCAAAGCAUGGAAGUGUAAUACCCUUGAAAAAACUGAAAUGAAGAAAAUCGAGGCCGGCUACUAUGACAUCGCGGUACCAAGACAUCUCAAGACCAUCCAUUCCCAGAUUGUUAGGGGUAUCACGAUAUUCAAGUUUGGGUAUCAUAAUAUCGCUGCCUAACGGAUGAAAAAACUGGAAAGGCAAUUUUAUGUCCGACAAACUUAAGUUUAUUUUUCACUUAAUGGUAAAUUAGUCAAUGCUAGAUUACAUAGUAAUAGACUAUAAAUACAACUUUAUAAGCCUUUCAUUUCAAAUUUUAUUAUUAUCCUUACCCGUUAGUUAAAAAAUAAGUUACUUGUCCAAUUGUUAAGUGUUAGUGAAAUUGUCUUUAAAACCCGAGUCUGAAUCCCCUCCCUCGCAUAAUUUUUAUCUUUUUUUGUAUUUUUGCCCAAAAACCCUAGGUGUUGUCGUCCGAUGUUGUAACCCUAGGUACAUAUUGUAUUUUUUUCUUUUCUUUUCAGCCUCAUUUGCUCACCCUAUCUGCGUCCUACCUUCUCUCUUCCCAUCAUUUCUUCAAUAAUUCUUUUCUCUUAUCUUUUUUAUUGCCUCCCCUUGAAACCUCAUAUUUUCUCUUUCAUUGACGUCGUCCUAGUUGAUCAGCCACCACUACUAUUGCCCCUUUUGCUUCUCCUCUCCUUCUCUCAUUUUCUCUCAUUCUUUUGCUGACGAAACCACCAUUCAUUUUUGGUCAAAUCUUUUUUGGCCCUCUGCAAGUGAUGAAUCCAUUUUGUGAUUAUUUGUCAUCAAAGGUCUGAGAUCCGCGAAGUGUAAGUUGUUUAUUAGUCAAAUCUAAAUACAUAUUUCUUUUCUAUAAUGGUUGAAUCUAUCAAGAGUCCAUGGCUAAUUCUCAAAUGUGUUAUUUUUGUGUUUUUUAUUUAAGGUUCAUAUUCAAAUCACUCAGAUCAAUGUGACAUCAAACAUUAUUUGUAUCUUCGUCUUAAGCCGAAAUAGUGUAUGUGGUGAAUCCAAAAAUCAUAUAUGAAUUGCCAUUGUUUUCUCUGAUUUGGCCGAACCUUAUAAGGUGAUUAUUGGCUAAUUUCUAACAAUUUUUCCUUGUGUUAGGUACAAAUUAAACUAGAUUUAAUCAAAUCUGAAGCAUAGGAGCUGCAGACUAGUGUUAGUACUUUAGAUAUGCAUUAUUCAGGUAUGGGUCCUAACUUUGUAUGUUUGGUGAUUGUUGAAAUCAUGUUUGUACUUUAUUGGCAUUGGUCGAAUGUUCUAGGGCCUUAAAGUGUAAAUAACCAAGUGUGUAAGUGCUAUAAGUGUUAACCAAUUCUAUGCAUAUUGUUAUUGGUUGAUUAGCUAAAUGCAUGUUAUUACAUGUACUGUAUUGUUAAGCAUGUUGAUUGUUACUAUAUAAAUGGAUUGCAAAUAUAGCAUGCCAUUGAUUGAUACAUUGUUUAUUGCUUGCAUUAAAAAAAACAUGUCACUGAUUGAUAUUAUUUUUAUCGAAUUAAAUUGUUACACAUGCCAUUGUUAUUGAAAUUGUUAUUGAAAAGCAUGAUAUGCUACACUAUUGGUAUGCCAUAAUGCAUUGCAUGGGGAUUGGGAUUGAUUGAUGAUGGAGGAGGUCCGUGGAGUACCGGCAGUUUAUCCAUCAUAUUAUACUGGCAAUUGAAGUAAUGUUCGGAGUACUGACGGUUUAUCCGCAAAGUACUAGCGAUUUAUCCACAAAUUAUUGGCAGUCUAAUUGAAAAAAUUGUUAAUGGUGGUUUAUCCACAUUGAGCCACGACUCUUACUAUUUUGGUGUUCUAAUGAUGAUCUCUGGGGAACUCAUGGUGUGUAGCAGAUGGAUGGGUAGGAAAUAUACAUUGUUUUCACAUGAGCAUGCCAAUGUAUAUAUAAUGUACUUUUAUGAUGUCAUGCUCUACUAUGAUCUAAGAAAUGUUGCUGGCUGUAUGCUUUACUGUAGUUUGAAUGUCUACAUGUAUAUAUAAUGUUUACUAAGUUUAAGACUCGUGUUGAGCUUUUUACAGCUCACCCCCAUAAUUUUAUCCUUACAGAUAAUCCUUGAGGUUAGGAUCGGACACGACAUUUGGAGGUUUCAUCUCAAUUUUAUUUAAUAAAGCAAUUUAAAUUUUACUUUAUUUUGUUAUGGUUUUUGGGACUGUAAUUUUGUUAAUUUUGGGUUGUGACAUGGGUUCUUUUUAAGGUUGAAUUUCUGCAUGCAUUCAAUUCAUUAAACUGAAAAAACCUAAUAAAUUUGCUUAAUAUCAUACUAAAUAAGGUUUAAAGUAAAAACUGAUGGUUUCAAUUUUUCUGAUGCGAAACAAGGAAAGGAGUUAUGAAAAGCAUACAAAAAAACAAAAAGCAAACAAGUUUACCCAAAAAUGCCACAAGCAAACAAGUUUACCCAAAAAUGCCACAACACAUAUUAAAUUUAGAACCUUAAUAUUACCUCGACUUAAAAUCUGAUGUCUUUUAUAAAUAUAUGACAAUUAAUCUAAGUUUUCUAAAAAUCAAAAAAAUAAAUGUUACGGGAACUGAAUGACUUUAUUAGGCCAUUUCAGUCGCUAAUGUAACUUUCAAUAUCUAAUCAAAAUGUUUGGAUCGAGUUAGGGAGGAUAUCAUUGCGGUUGAAAAUUUGAAGCAAUUGGAAAAAUGCCACAACACAUAUUAAAUUUAGAACCUUAAUAUUAACUCGACUUAAAAUCUGAUGUCCUUUAUAAAUAUAUGACAAUUAAUCUAAGUUUUCUAAAAAUGAACUGAAUGACUUUAUUAGGCCAUUUCGGUCGCCAAUGUAACUUUCAAUAUCUAAUCAUAAUGUUUGGAUCGAGUUAGGGAGGAUAUCAUUGCGGUUGAAAAUUUGAAGCAAUUGGAAAAAUAAAUAUUACUAUUGACAAGAAAGUGUUAUCAAAUGUAAGAGAAUCUCUUGAAUUAUGGGCUGGUAAUGGAAGAAAGUCAAAUAUUGAAGGUGACAUGAAAGGGAUGACGUUGCUUGGUAUUGAUAACAUGGGUGUAAACGAGACAGAUGAAGUGGAAGUAAGUAACCGAGGCAAAGAAGGUGAGUGUGCAAGUCCAAUUUUAGAGAUGGAUCAGACACUAGCGUUCAGCCAUUCAAAUCAGAAUCGAGGUUACGUUGAAACAACUGAGGUGAUAGGUAAAGAUAAUAUGACUGCAGGCAAGGAAUUGGUUGAAAUUACAAAGAGGAUAUUGUAGAGGACUAUAUAGUCAAAGGAGACAACAAAGUUAAGAAAAUUGAGAAAGAAGAAACUAACGGCCUGUGUUGAACACAUUCCGACUUCAAAAACAGGAAGAACACGUUGAAGUUCGGUAAGAUUGCGGAAUUACAAGUUGGUGGAGAUGAGGAUGAAGUUUUGAGACAUUUGGCAGCAAUCAGAGUUAGCUCAGUUCAAAGAAAGUUGAAGUUUUAUUUUGUUUUUUCUUUGAUGUACCAGUCAAUACCCUCAAACUUUCUUCUCUGAACCCUUCCUAAUGUUUCCCAUGAAUCCCCGACGCUAGCAUGCAAACUAUCUUAUGUUUCUCUAAAAUAAGAUCUUCUCUCGAUUUUGGAUGCUCUUGGGAUUCAUUGCCAAAGUCUGACUAAUAGAUGAAACCAUGGUGUUUGAAACUUCUCCCCAUCUCAAGGCUCUAUACGGUUUCUGCAUCUAGGUUUUUUAAACACUAACAAUAGUAUCUUACAUGCUAAGUCUCGAAGGAAACAAAGAAUUCUUUUGGAUCAUUUAUUUCGAUUUUUCUCAUAUGUCUUGUUUCUCUUUGUCCAGAGUUCCAUUAUUUUCAUCCCAAGCUUUCACUAUGAUAAAAAAAUAUAUUAAACUGAGGUGAAAGUAAUGGAGAGCAAAUACAUAAAAAAAUAUAUAAAAUAAAUUGAAGAUGGAAAGUGACUAUCCUAUGCACAUAAAAAUAUUAAAAAUUUGAUAAGAAAUAUUAAAUAUAAAAAAUAGAAUUUAAUAACACGAAAUUAUUUGAAUUAAAUAUAUGUAAUAUUAUUGUAUCGCAUAAUUUUACAUGAUAAUAUUAUGAUUAUAACAAUAAUUAUUACAAUUGCUACUCAUGCACAGGUUUGCUUUCACUAUAAAGAACGCAUAAUAAAAGUUAAAUUUUAAACAUAUUAGAUAAAAAUAAAUAAAUAAUAAUGCAUUUUAUAAUAUUAUUUUUAAAUAAUUUUAAAUAUUAAUAUUUUAAUUAAAAAUAAAUUUGAAAAAAAAAAGUAUGCCACAAAGAAUGAAUAUAUAUACCUUCUUAUAUUGUAUUAUAUUAUUUAUGAUAUGAUAUGAUUUAUUACAAAUGUUUCAAACAACGUUAGUUACCAUUUAAUCUAUAAUUUAUAAGUGUCAAAAAAACUCCUAAAAUAUGAAAGUUAAUCUUUUGUGAAAUGUGAAAAAAUUUUAAAAAAACUAAUAUUUAAUUUACAAUUUAGCAUUUAAAUUACAUUUAUAAAUUAAUUAUUACGAUACUUAAAAUAUUAGUUUAUCUAAAAACUAUUUUACUCAGCCAAAUAUAUAAAAAAAAAGGUAUAUAAAUUAAAUCCUAGCCUUAGCUUUUUUUUGAAAAAUUUCAAAGCACGAGAUUUUCAAAGAAUAAGAAAAAGAAGAUUAAAACACCAUAAUUUUUAUAGAGCGAUUAAUAUCCAUGAAAUUUAAACAAAUUCUCACAUCCGUAGGGCAUUCUCCACCAUGAAACAUUUUAAACUAAAUAUGGCCAUUUUUAGGGUUUUAACUGAUUCAUUUUUUAAUAUAAAUACGGAACUUCAAUAUAUAUUAUUCAAGCUUGUGCUCAAGGGGCCAUAAGUGAUAAGCAAUAAGCAGCCCCACAACUUCAAAUAAGGUUUUCUUCUUUCUUGCUUUCUUUUCUUCAGGGGAAAGAAAGAGAGAAGAAGAUAAUUUUUUUGUAAAAAAGUUGUUUAAAAAUGGCGAAUAAUGCUAUUAUUGGUAUCUGUGCGGUGUUCCUGGUGGCCAUGGUGGUAGCCGUGGUCGUGGGUGUUACGCACAUAAAAAACAAGAACGAUGGUGAAGAGAUAUCGAGUUCGAACAAAGCUGUGCAAGCCCUAUGUCAACCCACAAAUUAUAAAGAGACGUGCCAGAAAAGCUUGGCGUCGUCAAAUUCUAGCGACGUUAAGGAACUGAUAAGGACAGGUUUCCAAGCCGGGCUGGUCGAGAUAAAGAACGUGUUGGCCCAUUCAGUGACGGUCCAAGAGUUGAUCAAGGAUGAGAACAACAAAGCGGCACUUGGUGUUUGCCAAGAGGUGUUGGACUUAGCCAUUGAUGACUUUCAAAAGUCAUUCGACAUGCUAGGGGAAUACGACAUGAGCAAGAUAGGAAAAUACCUUUUAGAACUAAAGACCUGGCUAAGCGGUGCAUUCACGAGUCAACAGACAUGUAUAGACUCAUUCGCGCAAUCAAGCAACGAAUCAUCGCAGAAGAUGCAAUCAAUCUUGAAGACUAGCAUGGAGAUUACUAGCAAUGCUUUAGCAAUGCUUAAUGGGUUAUCCACCAUCGUGAAGGAACUUAACAUUCCAAAUGUCGGCAACAUCGACACCACGGGGGUCAAUCGUAAGCUUUUGUCAGCUGAGGACAUGCCUGAGUGGAUUAGUCAAGCUGACCGGAAACUCCUUCAAGCAAAACCAAUGGAUUUGAAGCCUAACGUUGUAGUUGCUAAAGAUGGUAGCGGGAAAUAUGAUACUAUUAACAAGGCAUUGGCUGAAGUCCCCGUGAAAAGUCCCGAUCGAUUUGUUAUUCACAUUAAGGCUGGUACUUACAAGGAAAAAAUCAAUGUGACCAAGCAGAUGACUAAUGUUGUAUUCAUCGGUGAUGGCCCAACCAAGACCAUCAUCACAAAUGACAUUAGCGUCGCUAAGAAUCCACCGGUUAGAACAUACCGUACUGCAACUGUUGGUAAGCAGUAUUAUAUAUGUAUAUAAUUUUUGGUUGUGAGGUGAGGUGGCUAACUAGUAUAUAUGUAUGUAUGUUUGUGAAAUAUUUUAGGUGUGGAUGGGGCUAGUUUCAUGGCUAAGGACAUUGGAUUCGAUAACUCAGCAGGACCCGAAGGUCAUCAAGCAGUGGCCUUUAGGGCCACUGCUGAUAAGGUCAUCAUGUUCAACUGCCAUUUCACUGGGUACCAAGACACUCUUUACGCUCACAGAGAGAGACAAUUAUAUACCAACUGUCUCAUUACCGGAACGGUGGAUUUCAUCUUCGGGGAUGCGACGAGCAUUUUCCAGAACUGUAUGCUCAUCGUGAGGAAGCCAGGGCCUGGCCAAAAUUGCAUGGUUACUGCACAGGGAAGGAAUGAUCUUGGAACAAACUCAGCCAUUGUGCUUCAAAACUGCACCAUCUCGGGCGCCCCUGAUUACAUCCCAGUGAAGGAUACGAACAAGGCAUACUUGGGGCGUCCC
rnacentral:lncRNA from 1 species